rnacentral:lncRNA from 1 species
CUUUGGUAGUGGUAUGACUAUAUGAUGUGUGGAACUGUUGAAGCCAUCUUGUCACUAUGAGGUCACAACUUCAAGGAUGAGAGGCCCACACACUGUGGAUGCCCAAAUAGAAGGAUGAGAAAAGCCUGGGUUUUUGAUGGCAUUGCUGAGCUUCAGAACAAACCCUAGGCUCACCUAUCUCCAGCCUCUCAUCAAGGAAAACAACAAUUGUCUUUAUGGUUCAAAUCACUGACUCCCCAGACUCAUCAGCCAGUGGCACAAAUGGGGCUCAUGUCAGCAUCAAUGGCUUACAGUUCAUGGCUCUUGCCCUCACCGGCCGACAGACGAUCUCGCAUCCUUGCAAAGUCUUCCUAAGGUGUUGCCUAUCCAACUAUUUCAUCCAACAAGGUGCAUCCAGUGCCAGAGAAGAGACGAAAAUCUCUAGAAUGUGCUAGAAGUUGACAGAAAUCAGCUAACAAAUUAAGGAGC